GGCUUUGGGGAGGGGGUGGGAGAGACGACAGGUCUGGGAUCAGGGAGUCUUCAAGGCCCCCGCUGAGGGGACAGCGAAUCUACCAUUGAACCGUGCACGGGGGACAUGGACAAAAUGAGACGCGACAGGGACAAGAGCAUUUUGCUCUGCUUCCAGGAAACAUCAAGUUGCUUGUCUGGAGAUGGAGCCACUACAGGCGGGCCUGGGCGCCUGGAGUCGGGCAUGAAAGAAAAUAGCGCCUCAUCGCUCUUAUCUAAGCCCAGAGGUAGACUUCGCUUGAAAAGAUCGAGAAUGGAGGAGGGGAUCGGCACUCACUUGCAGACAUCAACAGUUUCCAGAAAAUUCGGUUCAAUUCCUUCACCACGGACCCACCAACCAAGGAGCUGGCAAAACCCACUAACCAACCAGGAGAACACAGACCCGGUUUGUCUUUUGACAACCGAGUGGAACUGACGGGGCCGGCGCCUGCCCUGCGGGUCCCCUCCCUUGGCUGAGAAGAAAACCAAAUAAACCUUGAACAGCCUUGGCUUCGAAAAAAAAAAAAA
rnacentral:lncRNA from 1 species